GAUGAAGAACGUAGCGAAAUGCGAUACUUGGUGUGAAUUGCAGAAUCCCGUGAACCAUCGAGUCUUUGAACGCAAGUUGCGCCCCAAGCCGUUAGGCCGAGGGCACGCCUGCCUGGGUGUCACGCAUCGUUGCCCCCCUCCCCGAAACCCCUCUCCUCGAAAGAGACGAGGGGACUUGGCCGUGGGGGGGCGGAUAUUGGCCUCCCGUGUGCCGGACGGCUCGCGGUUGGCCUAAAUACGAGUCGUCGGCGACGGACGCCACGACAAUCGGUGGUUGCGAAACCUCGGUUGCCCGUCGUGUGCGUUCGUCGCGCAUCGAGGGCUCGAAAAAAUGCUCGGCUCCGGCUCGGCUUUCAACGCGACCCCAGGUCAGGCGGGGUUACCCGCUGAAUUUAAGCAUAUCAAUAAGCGGAGGA
rnacentral:misc_RNA from 1 species